rnacentral:rRNA from 1 species
GACGUAGGGCGCGAGCGUUGUCCGGAUUUAUUGGGCGUAAAGAGCUCGUAGGCGGCUUGUCGCGUCGUUCGUGAAAACCCCGGGGGCUCAACCCCCGGGCUUGCGGUCGAUACGGGCAGGCUGGAGUUCGGUAGGGGAGACUGGAAUUCCUGGUGUAGCGGUGAAAUGCGCAGAUAUCAGGAGGAACACCGGUGGCGAAGGCGGGUCUCUGGGCCGAUACUGACGCUGAGGAGCGAAAGCGUGGGGAGCGAACAGG